rnacentral:rRNA from 1 species
CCCUUAGACGUUCUGGGCCGCACGCGCGCUACACUGACCAGUGCAACAAGCAUCCGUCCUUGGCCGACAGGCCCGGGCAAUCUUUGAACGCUGGUCGUGAUGGGGAUAGACUUUUGCAAUUUUUGGUCUUCAACGAGGAAUUCCUAGUAAACGCAAGUCAUCAACUUGCAUUGAUUACGUCCCUGCCCUUUGUACACACCGCCCGUCGCACCUACCGAUUGAAUGGUCCGGUGAAAUCUUCGGAUCUGAGAGAUGUUGGAUUAAUUUCUGACGCCUUUUGGAAAAGUCGCUUAAACCUUAUCAUUUAGAGGAAGGUGAAGUCGUAACA